GUUGUAAGGUUAAGUAAUUAAGCGUAUAUGGUGGAUGCCUUGGCAAUCAGAGGCGAUGAAGGACGUGCUAAUCUGCGAAAAUCAUCGGUGAGUUGAUAAGAAACGUUAUUAACCGGUGGUGUCCGAAUGGGGAAACCCGAUGUAUUAGAAAUAAUAUGUCAUUGUCAAUUAAAUAAAUAGAUUGGCAAAGCUAACCAAGAGAAUUGAAACAUCUAAGUAUCUUGAGGAAAAGAAAUCAAUUGAGAUUCCCUUAGUAGUGGCGAGCGAAAAGGGAAAAGCCUAGAGUUAUAAUCUUUUUUAUUUUUAGUAGAAUAUUUUGGAAAAAAUAGCGAAACAUGGUGAUAGCCCAGUAUACGAAAAAAAUAAUAUUAGUGGACUCAAAAAGUAAAACGGGACACGAGAAAUCUUGUUUGAAGAUGGGGGGACCAUCCUCCAAGGCUAAAUACUCCUGAUUGACCGAUAGUGAACUAGUACCGUAAGGGAAAGGCGAAAAGAACCCCGGUUAGGGGAGUGAAAUAGAUCCUGAAACCGUAUACGUACAAUCAGUAGGAGCCUAAUUUAUCAGGUGACUGCGUACCUUUUGUAUAAUGGGUCAGCGACUUGUACUUUGUAGCAAGGUUAACCAAUAUAGGGGAGCCGUAGGGAAACCGAGUCUGAAAUGGGCUAUAGUUUCAAGGUACAGACCCGAAACCCGGUGAUCUAGCUAUGGGCAGGUUGAAGGUUAGGUAAAACUAAUUGGAGGACCGAACCGACUGAUGUUGAAAAAUCAGCGGAUGACCUGUGGUUAGGGGUGAAAGGCCAAUCAAACCGGGAGAUAGCUGGUUCUCCUCGAAAGCUAUUUAGGUAGCGCCUCGUGAAUUCAUCUUCAGGGGUAGAGCACUGUUUCGGUUAGGGGGUCAUACCGACUUACCAAUCCGAUGCAAACUCCGAAUACUGAAAAAUGUUAUCACGGGAGACACACAGCGGGUGCUAACGUUCGUUGUGGAAAGGGAAACAACCCAGAUCACCAGCUAAGGUCCCAAAAUUAUAGUUAAGUGGGAAACGAUGUGGGAAGUCAUAGACAACCAGGAUGUUGGCUUAGAAGCAGCCAUCAUUUAAAGAAAGCGUAAUAGCUCACUGGUCAAGUCGGCCUGCGCGGAAGAUGUAACGGGGCUAAAACUAUAUACCGAAGCUGUGACAAUAUAAAAUAAUUUCUUUUUUUUUAUUGGGUAGAGGAGCGUUCUGUAAGCUGUUGAAGAAGUAUUGUGAAAUACUUUGGAGGUAUCAGAAGUGCGAAUGCUGACAUGAGUAACGAUAAAACAGGUGAAAAACCUGUUCGCCGAAAAACCAAGGUUUCCUGUCCAACGAUAAUCGGGGCAGGGUAAGCCGAUUCCUAAGGUGAGGCCGAAAGGCGUAAUCGAUGGUAAACAGGUUAAUAUUCCUGUGCUUAAUGUUACUGCGAAGGGAGGACGGAGAAGGUUAGAUUAUCCAGGCGUUUGGUUGUCCUGGUUUAAGCGUGUAGAUUGAAUAGUUAGGAAAAUCCGAUUAUUCUUAAGAUUAAGACGUGAUGACGAAUUACUACGGUAAUGAAGUAAUUAAUACCAUGCUUCCAAGAAAAUUCUCUAAGCAAGAGGUAGCAUUAAAUCGUACCCAAAACCGACACAGGUGGUUAAGUAGAGAAUACUAAGGCGCUUGAGAGAACCCAGGUGAAGGAACUAGGCAAAAUGAUGCCGUAACUUCGGGAGAAGGCAUGCUAAUUGUAAGUGAUGAAAUUUACUUUUUGAGCUGAAAUUAGUCGAAGAUACCAGCUAGCUGCAACUGUUUAUUAAAAACACAGCACUGUGCAAACAUGAAAAUGGAAGUAUACGGUGUGACGCCUGCCCGGUGCCGGAAGGUUAAUUAAAGGAGUUAAAGGAAACUUGAAGCUCUGGAUUGAAGCCCCGGUAAACGGCGGCCGUAACUAUAACGGUCCUAAGGUAGCGAAAUUCCUUGUCGGGUAAGUUCCGACCUGCACGAAUGGCGUAAUGAUGGCUAGGCUGUCUCCACCUGGGACUCAGUGAAAUUGAAAUUGCUGUGAAGAUGCAGUAUACCCGCGGCAAGACGGAAAGACCCCGUGAACCUUUACUAUAGCUUGAUAUUGAAUAUUGAUUUUUGAUGUGUAGGAUAGGUGGGAGACUAAGAAGUUAAGUCGUAAGGCUUAAUGGAGUUGUCCUUGAAAUACCACCCUUUGAAAUUUAGUAUUCUAACCUGAUUCCGUAAUCCGGAAUAGAGACAGUGUCUGGUGGGUAGUUUGACUGGGGCGGUCUCCUCCUAAAGAGUAACGGAGGAGUACAAAGAUUGGCUAAUCACGGUCGGAAAUCGUGAGGUUAGUGCAAAGGCAUAAGCCAGUUUAACUGUGAGCGUGAUGACGCGAGCAGAUGCGAAAGCAGGUCUUAGUGAUCCGGUGGUUCUGUAUGGAAGGGCCAUCGCUCAACAAAUAAAAGGUACUCCGGGGAUAACAGGCUAAUAUCGCCCAAGAGUUCAUAUCGACGGCGGUGUUUGGCACCUCGAUGUCGGCUCAUCACAUCCUGGGGCUGAAGCAGGUCCCAAGGGUAUGGCUGUUCGCCAUUUAAAGUGGUACGCGAGCUGGGUUUAGAACGUCGUGAGACAGUUCGGUCCCUAUCUGCCGUGGGCGUAGGAAGAUUGAGGGGAGCUACUUCUAGUACGAGAGGACCGAAGUGGACGCAUCACUGGUGUUCGGGUUGUCAUGCCAAUGGCAUUGCCCGGUAGCUAUAUGCGGAAAAGAUAAGCGCUGAAAGCAUCUAAGCACGAAGCUUACCCCAAGAUUAGUCUUCCCUGAGACGAAAGUUUACUGAAGGGACGUUGAAGACUACAACGUUGAUAGGCUGGAUGUGUAAGCAUAGUGAUAUGUUGAGCUAACCAGUACUAAUGACCCGAGAGGCUUAAUCUUACAACACCAGAG
rnacentral:rRNA from 1 species